rnacentral:lncRNA from 1 species
AAUCACUUUUGUAAUAUCAGCAUUGAUCUCAUCAGAAAAGACUCCAAGUCUUGGCACGCCACUGUCAAGCUCCCAAGGAGCUUGUGGGGACCUCACUUGAAGAACUGCUGAUUUAGGAAUUGUUAGUUAACUGCUGACUGAGGUGACUGAGGCAGUUAGUUUCUGUUAUGAUUACCUUUUCUAACCAGGAGUGAGUUAAAGAAUACAAGGUUUGUAAUUUUGUUUCCGUAUUUACUUUGUUAAAGGUCUGCCUUAAGGCUACUUCCCUCUCUGGGAUUGUGGGAGUCGUGUGUAUAUCCUUAACAUCUGUUGCUAUGCCUGGUGAAUAGCAAGUGGUCAAAAUACACCUGACUUGAUUUCUAUGAAUUUAGAGAAGCAAAUUCACAAUGAUAAGUCAUCAGGAUGACAGCAAGUACUGUCAGCAUUGGUGCUGGAUUGUACAGAAAUGAUGGUGGGGCUCCUUGGUUAAGGGAGUCCACUGUAGAAUCCGAUAUUGUAAUCAGAGCACACUGUUAUAUGUGGAAGUUGCUGAUAUUGGGGAUGUUCCAGUGUAAAAGGAGCUUCCUUCAGAGAUUGACAACCAAUUCAAGUAGUAAAGGAUGACGCAUCUCUGAACGUACUCAUCAUAAAUGCUAAUUAC